UACGAGGGGUGCAAGCGUUGCUCGGAAUUAUUGGGCGUAAAGGGUAGGUAGGUGGUCUCGUUUGUCUGGGGUGAAAGCCUUGAGCUUAACUCAAGAAGUGCCCCCAGAAACGGCGAGACUUAGAGUCCUAGAGAGGGUUGCGGAAUUCCCGGUGUAGCGGUGAAAUGCGUAGAGAUCGGGAGGAACACCAGCGGCGAAGGCGGCAACCUGGAUAGGUACUGACACUCAACUACGAAAGCGUGGGGAGCAAACAGG
rnacentral:rRNA from 1 species